rnacentral:tRNA from 1 species
GCUCCUGUAGUGUAGUCCGGCCAAUCAUCCUACCCUCUCACGGUAGGGACCCGGGUUCGAAUCCCGGCGGGAGCA